CGGCGUUAGGAGCGGUUGUCAAUAUGUAAUGUUACUCCACGCUACCCGAAUUCAAAUUGUCAGGUUUUACAUAACGAUCUCUUCUCGCGUACAUAAAUUGCAUUGUAAAUGAAAUCACUAAUUAAUUUAUUGUUUUAUUUUUGCAAUUUAGUAAAGAAUAAGUAUCUUUUUGUUUCGUGUUCCCGCUAUUUUGGUUCGUGUGUGGUGAACAGAAUAUCCUCUGUCAACACUCAACAACGCGCAAGAGCAAAGCACACGUCGGCCGGCGGCGAUGGUAAAGUCCAUCAAAGUUCGAAGCCUAAUUUUGGACACUGGGCGUUGGGGAUCGCGAGACAAUCUCCAACCACGCACCGUAAGCACGGGCCUGCAGACGGCGAGCAUGGACUGCAGAUAGCUCGCAGACUGACCAGAAUCGGACCCGACCGUACGACGUCUCAGCGAGCCAUCAGACCACUACGGUGUCCACCAUCUUUUAGUCAGUACGAGUCUGACAGUAACUUUCACCUUCACCUCACCCAGGCGGGAGAAGUCAUUCGCUGAUUUUCCCCCCUUAAAAAAAACGCUUUGUUACUUAGUGGCUUGGAGAUGUGAGAAGCGCUCAAUAAGUAAUUGUCCUGAUUUUAGCGGUGGCUGUCUGCUUCAUAGCCGACGGCGCUUGUCUUGUUGGCAGGAGCGGCGAGGUGACCAAGCUUACAGUUCAACACAGAUCGUGAUGAAGAACUUCCAUAGACUUGUAGACUCACUGCGGCAACUAGACAACAUAGAACACACACAAGUGGCACCCUGCAGUGACUCACGGACGGCGGUACCGCCAGGUUUGCCGAGGACGGCCACGCUUUCUCUUUCUUUGGGGAUUCCUGUCCAAGGCUUGCUCAGGCAUGUUGCCGGGACCCCUUCGGCGCGUGUGGCCAUGCUCCAUCAUUGACUGCACCCUUGCUUGCCAACGGAUGUUAUAUUGAUCUGUCGAAGCCGUGUCUUCGGGGAAAUGGACUAAGCUAUCCUGAUGACUUGGAGUCCAGGUUCCUGUCAAUGACUAAGGUG